rnacentral:misc_RNA from 1 species
CCUGUGCCCGGCCGUGUGCGUUGUGCUGCUGCCGCAACAAAAAUCGCCGCUGUUUCUCUGAUUUUUUUUUCAAGAGAGUAAGUGCACCGUAUAGCGCAGCGCGUUGUUUACCUCAAGCAUCCGCGUGGCGCUUAUUGCUGCGGUGAUAACAGAACUUCGCAUUGUACCUAUUCAAAGUGCGGUAUUGCUUCGCUCUCGGAAGCAUGGAUGACGCAUCAUUGUUAGUAGCAGGAUAAAACCGAAGAUCACUGCGCUACAAUUAUAGCGAGGAUUCCCCGUGGCAGUUUACCUGGCAAAGACGAGGGCACAUAUGAGACGGUCUGUGAUAUCGCAGACGGAUGUUCUGCAAGUAUAACGAAGCUCGACUCCCUUGAAUGGUAGCAACAGAUGAUGACCGCACCUUUGCGAUAGAUGUAUUCUGUGUGAGAAGUGCGAGUCCAUUCCAGUUUAUCAACGUCAGUGCAGACUCGGCAGUCGUAUUAACACCCUCCCUCGAUCACAUGGGGUGUCUGGGGGCAAGCGUGAGCGAGGCGACUUUGAAAAUUUGUUCGACACAUAUCAAGUGAUUCAACAGACGUGUAUACACAUAUAUAUACAACAGGUGCAUUAUCUGUUGGCUUCUGUACCGCAUUCGUAUACUACCAUUGCGGAACCAGGGUCUCAUCUGAUCAAAUCGACAUCACGGUGUGCCUGCAGAGCUCCUGCUCCAAUCAUAGGUGCUCAAUGAAGAUGAGGCGGAUAAACUGUGAAGGGAAUGUCAUAAUCUAGUUUUCGCAGCCCGUGACAUCGGUACUAGUAAGCUCCUUUACGUUUUGUACAUUGAGUUGAAGGUGACCGUUAUGAAACGGAAAGCGGAAGUGAGGGCUGCAUAUUCACUUGACCGCCCGUGCGUCCCCUGCGAUCCUAGUGCAGACUGCAUUACUGCAAACACUGCGCGGUAGUUCUGCUCCAGCGCUUUGUUGUGUCUGCCUAUGGAGAAUGAUGAAACUAAUGGGGCACGGCCUGUAUCUUUGCCCUUGUGGUGACUGAAUGCAAGAAGCCCCAUAACAACACUUUCUUUUCUUUUUCUUUUUGCUGCUUCCUCCUUUUCAAUUCAGAAAAGGCAUGUUUCUUUUUUUUUUGUUUCCUAGUAUACCUGCGUCUGAGAUGAUGAGGUUGUCAUUUUGUGGUUGCGAGGUAGAUGGCCAUUUAUUUUUUUUUUCUCCUUUUUCUCGGUCUGAUG